CUGAUGCAGCAAUGCCGCGUGUGUGAAGAAGGCCUUCGGGUUGUAGAGCUCUUUAGGCGGGAAAGAAAAAGCUUUCUCCUAGUACAAGGAAGCCUUGGCGGUAUCCAGUAGCAUAAGCCCCGGGUAUAUACUGUGCCAGCAGCCGCGGUAAUA
rnacentral:rRNA from 1 species